rnacentral:rRNA from 1 species
UUGUCAUUAGUUGCUACAUUCAGUUGGGCACUCUAAUGAGACUGCCGGUGACAAGCCGGAGGAAGGUGGGGAUGACGUCAAGUCCUCAUGGCCCUUAUAGGUGGGGCUACACACGUCAUACAAUGGCUGGUACAAAGGGUUGCCAACCCGCGAGGCGGAGCGAAUCGCUUAAAGCCGGUCCCAGUACGGAUUGGAGUCUGCAACCCGACUCCAUGAAGUUGGAAUCGCUAGUAAUCGCGCAUCAGCAUGGCGCGGUGAAUACGUUCCCGGGCCUU